UACGAAGGGGGCGAGCGUUGUUCGGAUUUACUGGGCGUAAAGGGCGCGCAGGCGGCUUUGUUUGUCAGGCGUGAAAGCCCCGGGCUUAACCUGGGAACUGCGUUUGAUACGGCAGGGCUAGAGUUCGGGAGAGGAGAGUGGAAUUCCCAGUGUAGAGGUGAAAUUCGUAGAUAUUGGGAAGAACACCGGUGGCGAAGGCGGCUCACUGGCCCGGUACUGACGCUGAGGUGCGAAAGCGUGGGGAGCAAACAGG
rnacentral:rRNA from 1 species